rnacentral:misc_RNA from 1 species
CAAAUAGCCCAUUCUGACACAUCAAAGAUUUUGCUUUCGGCACAGACAAAAGCACGGGGUAUUUCUACCUUUUGAGGCCUAUCAAAGGCCAAUGAGCCCUUGUAUUCAACCCAUCCAUCUCCAUCUUUGGCUUGAUGGUAUUGGCAACAAUCCUGACACCAUCUGGCCUUAGCCUUACUCCUAUUGGUGCAAACCCAUAUAUGUGAAUUGCCACACUUUGUGCACUGUAUACGCCUCGACUCCUCAGAGCAAUAGUCUUGGUUUCCCUGACGAGGAGUACCAUGGGAAUUUUGACAUACACUCCUAGUCUUGGAUUCUUCCUUCCUCAAUUGCUCAUCAUAGUCCCACUUUUUUGAUGAAUCAGAAAGAACCUCAUAAGCGCACUGAAGCUUCUUAAAUGAUUCACUUGCCAAAGGACUUCCCAUAUUUUUAUCAGG